rnacentral:rRNA from 1 species
AUUGAACGCUGGCGGCAGGCCUAACACAUGCAAGUCGAGCGGAUGAAGGGAGCUUGCUCCUGGAUUCAGCGGCGGACGGGUGAGUAAUGCCUAGGAAUCUGCCUGGUAGUGGGGGAUAACGUCCGGAAACGGGCGCUAAUACCGCAUACGUCCUGAGGGAGAAAGUGGGGGAUCUUCGGACCUCACGCUAUCAGAUGAGCCUAGGUCGGAUUAGAUAGUUGGUGGGGUAAAGGCCUACCAAGGCGGCGAUCCGUAACUGGUCUGAGAGGCUGAUCAGUCACACUGGAACUGAGACACGGUCCAGACUCCUACGGGAGGCAGCAGUGGGGAAUAUUGGACAGUGGUCGAAAGCCUGAUCCAGCGAGGCCGCGUGUGUGAAGAAGGUCUUCGGAUUGUAAAGCACUUUAAGUUGGGAGGAAGGGCAGUAAGUUAAUACCUUGCUGUUUUGACGUUACCAGCAGAAUAAGCACCGGCUAACUUCGUG